GGGGCCGCACAGCGAGACAUGUGGUUUAAUCGAUGAUACGCGAGACUACCCGGGCUGAAAUGUACCUGACCGUCCUGAAAGGGACUCUAGCAAUAGCAGGUAUGUAGGUGCUGCAUGGUGUCGUCAGCUCGUGCCGUGAGGUGUCGGCUUAAGUGCCAUAACGAGCGCAACCCACAUUAUUAGUUACUAACAGGUUAAGCUGAGGACUCUAAUAAGACUGCCGUCGUAAGAUGCGAGGAAGGUGUGGAUGACGUCAAAUCAGCACGGCCCUUACGUCCGGGGCGACACACGUGUUACAAUGGGAGGUACAAAGGGUUGCUACCUGGUGACAGGAUGCUAAUCCCCAAAGCCUCUCCCAGUUCGGAUCGGAGUCUGCAACUCGACUCCGUGAAGCUGGAUUCGCUAGUAAUCGCGCAUCAGCCAUGGCGCGGUGAAUACGUUCCCGGGCCUUGUACACACCGCCCGUCAAGCCAUGGGAGCCGGGGGUAUCUGAAGUGCGUAACCGCAAGGAGCGUCCUAGGGUAAAACUGGUGACUGGGGCUAAGUCGUAACAAGGUAACCUA
rnacentral:rRNA from 1 species